GCGCAGGUGGCGGAAUGGUAGACGCGCAAGGUUGAGGGCCUUGUCGGGGGUUCUCGGUGGGGGUUCAAGUCCCCCUCUGCGCA
rnacentral:tRNA from 1 species